AGUGAUGUGAGUCCGUCGAGUAGCCUU
rnacentral:piRNA from 1 species